rnacentral:rRNA from 2 species
UGCCUAUACUGCAGUCGAGCGGACAGAUGGGAGCUUGCUCCCUGAUGUUAGCGGCGGACGGGUGAGUAACACGUGGGUAACCUGCCUGUAAGACUGGGAUAACUCCGGGAAACCGGGGCUAAUACCGGAUGGUUGUUUGAACCGCAUGGUUCAAACAUAAAAGGUGGCUUCGGCUACCACUUACAGAUGGACCCGCGGCGCAUUAGCUAGUUGGUGAGGUAACGGCUCACCAAGGCAACGAUGCGUAGCCGACCUGAGAGGGUGAUCGGCCACACUGGGACUGAGACACGGCCCAGACUCCUACGGGAGGCAGCAGUAGGGAAUCUUCCGCAAUGGACGAAAGUCUGACGGAGCAACGCCGCGUGAGUGAUGAAGGUUUUCGGAUCGUAAAGCUCUGUUGUUAGGGAAGAACAAGUACCGUUCGAAUAGGGCGGUACCUUGACGGUACCUAACCAGAAAGCCACGGCUAACUACGUGCCAGCAGCCGCGGUAAUACGUAGGUGGCAAGCGUUGUCCGGAAUUAUUGGGCGUAAAGGGCUCGCAGGCGGUUUCUUAAGUCUGAUGUGAAAGCCCCCGGCUCAACCGGGGAGGGUCAUUGGAAA